CGCUCAGUCAGAACUUGUUGCUAGCAUGAGUCAAUUUGAACGACAGAGCAUCAUCCGCUGCUGAACCACAGCGCAUCAUCUGCCGCUGAACCACAGCGCAUCAUCUGCCGCUGAACCACAGCGCAUCAUCCGCCGCUGAACCACAGCGCAUCAUCCACCGCUGAACCACAGCGCAUCAUCCGCCGCUGAACCACAGCGCAUCAGCUGCCGCUGAACCACAGCGCAUCAUCUACUGCUGAAAGACAGCGCAGCAGCUCGCGGAGGCAUCUUCAAGAAAAAAGAUCAGAUCGAGCACCGGUACCGCCUCUCGCCACUGUGGAUUAGCAGGUGCACCCGGAGGUUGUUGGGCUGCGCGAAUGACUUGCCGCAGUGUGGGCAGCUGAACGGCCGCUGUCCCGUGUGGACCCUCUGGUGCACCUCCAGGGACGCCUGGCUGUGGAAGAUGCGGCCGCAGAAGUUACAGCCCAUUGGCUCGUUCGUCGUCGUGGCUCCAUGCGGCUGCCUCUGAUUCGCUGGGGGUGCGGGAGGAGGAGGAGCUGUCAUGUCAAAGGGGGCGAAGACGCCCAUGUCGCUGCCGGGGAACUGUCUGGACUGGCUCUCUACGUCAGCCUGGGUUUGGUAGGAGCAAGAUGGAUGCCCGGCAGCCUCUGCGUUUGCGGCUGCUGCCUGGGCCAAGGAAAGCCCCAGAUGCCCCAGGACCCUCUCCUGCAUCAGAGCCAGAUCCAAACCGGGGCUAUUCAGUAGCUCUGUGCUGAGAUCUGGUCCUGUUGGCUGCUGGGGUCUCUGGUUCACACCCUCUGUCCCCAUCUCUGACUUGAGGUUAGCUUCGGAUCCACUGGUCCUAGUGGGCUCAGUGGGGUCCUCUGUGGCUGCAGUGGGCGAGCUGUGAGUGUCAGCCAUGUUAUGUCUCUCGCUGUCAUCGUCGUUGGGUUCUGGAACUACCAUCAAGGAUGAAAAAGGAGUAAUCAACACAAUGAUCAGACAUUCCUAAUCAUAUACAAUAGGUUGCCUUUAAACACAGCACAAGUCCUAAGAGUUGAUGUCUUCAGUUAAGGGCUAAGAGUUGAUGUCUUCAGCUAAGGGCUAAGAGUUGAUGUGUUCAGUUAAGGGCUAAGAGUUGAUGUCUUCAGUUAAGGGCUAAGAGUUGAUGUCUUCAGCUAAGGGCUAAGAGUUGAUGUCUUCAGUUAAGGGCUAAGAGUUGACAGGCCAGUUAAGGCCAGUAGUAGCCUGUGUGUUGGGUAUUUCAACAGUGAGUGGAUUGUAAAUAAAAAAGUGUUCUAAGUAAUCAAUAUCUGCACUGAAACUUACCAGUGGGUCUACUCUCUGAGCGGAUGUUUUGUUCUACCUUCAGGUCCACGCCACAGCUGUCCACUCUUUCCUGCUUGAUUAGGGACAAUGCAGUUCUGUCUUCCUGUAAAUAAAAUAGAAAAAUACAGAUUA